rnacentral:rRNA from 1 species
UACCCGCAGCACAAGUGGUGGUCAUUAUUAUUGGGCCUAAAGCGUCCGUAGCUGGCUUGUUAGAUGCCUGGGUAAAUCGAUGCGCUCAACGUAUCGAAUUCCGGGUAGACCGGCAAGCUCGAGACCGGGAGAGGUGUAGGCUACUCGAGGGGUAGGGGUAAAAUCCUGUAAUCCUUCGGGGAGGACCAGUGGCGAAGGCGCUACACUAGAACGGCUCUGACAGUGAGGGACGAAGCCCUGGGGCGCAACCAGG